rnacentral:tRNA from 1 species
GGGCGAUUAGCUCAGCUUGGUUAGAGCGCCUGCUUUACACGCAGGAGGUCGGGGGUUCGAUCCCCUCAUCGCCCA